AAAGAAACCAACAGGGAUUGCCUUAGUAGCGGCGAGUGAAGCGGCAAUAGCUCAAAUUUGAAAUCUGGCACCUUCGGUGUCCGAGUUGUAAUUUGAAGAAGGUAUCUUUGGUUUUGGCUCUUGUCUAUGUUUCUUGGAACAGGACGUCACAGAGGGUGAGAAUCCCGUGCGAUAAGAUGCCCAAUUCCAUGUAAAGUUCCUUCGACGAGUCGAGUUGUUUGGGAAUGCAGCUCUAAGUGGGUGGUAAAUUCCAUCUAAAGCUAAAUAUUGGCGAGAGACCGAUAGCGAACAAGUACUGUGAAGGAAAGAUGAAAAGAACUUUGAAAAGAGAGUGAAAAAGUACGUGAAAUUGUUGAAAGGGAAGGGCUUGAGGUCAGACUUGGUUUUACCAGGCCAGCAUCAGUUUGGAUGGCAGGAUAAUAGCUAAGAAAAGUGGCACAGCUUCGGUUGUGUGUUAUAGUCUUGGUUGAUACUGCCUGUCUAGACUGAGGACUGCGUCUUUGACUAGGAUGCUGGCAUAAUGACCUUAAGCCGCCCGUCUUGAAACACGGACCAAGGAGUCUAACGUCUAUGCGAGUGUUUGGGUGUAAAACCCGUACGCGUAAUGAAA
rnacentral:rRNA from 1 species